CAAUAGCGUAUAUUUAAGUUGUUGCAGUUAAAAAGCUCGUAGUUGGAUUUCGGAUGGGAUUUGCCGGUCCGUCGUUACGAUGUGCACUGGCCAGUCCUAUCUUGUUGUCGGGGACUAGCUCCUUGGAUUCACUUCCUGGGACUAGGAGCUGACGAGGUUACUUUGAGUAAAUUAGAGUGUUCAAAGCAAGCCUACGCUCUGAAUACAUUAGCAUGGAAUAACACGAUAGGACUCUGGCUUAUCUUGUUGGUCUGUGAGACCAGAGUAAUGAUUAAGAGGGACAGUCGGGGACAUUCGUAUUUCAUUGUCAGAGGUGAAAUUCUUGGAUUUAUGAAAGACGAACUUCUGCGAAAGCAUUUGUCAAGGAUGUUUACAUUAA
rnacentral:rRNA from 1 species